ensembl:misc_RNA Metazoa_SRP Metazoan signal recognition particle RNA
GCCGGGUGUGGUGGCGCACACCUGUAGUUCCAGCUACUCAGAGGCUGAGGCAGGAGAAUUGCUUGAACCCAGGAGGCAGAGGCUGCAGUGAGCUGAGAUUGCGCCACUGCACUGCAGCCUGGGUGACAGAGCAAGACUCUGUCUCAA